rnacentral:rRNA from 1 species
GUGGGAAACGAAGUGGGAAGGCUUAGACAGCUAGGAUGUUGGCUUAGAAGCAGCCAUCAUUUAAAGAAAGCGUAAUAGCUCACUAGUCGAGUCGGCCUGCGCGGAAGAUGUAACGGGGCUGAAAUAUAGCACCGAAGCUGCGGCAUCAGGCGUAUCACUAAUACGCCUUACGAUUAACAACAUGGAAUGGUGCGAAGCGACAUGAAAGGUUGUUCAAGCAACCCGAACGUUGAGUCGGGCAUCUUUGAGUAAGGAUGAUUAGUGAUACGCCUGUUGGGUAGGGGAGCGUUCUGUAAGCGGAUGAAGGUGGCUCGAGAGGGCUGCUGGACGUAUCACAAGUGCGAAUGCUGACAUAAGUAACGAUAAAACGGGUGAAAAACCCGUUCGCCGGAAGACCAAGGGUUCCUGUCCAACGUUAAUCGGGGCAGGGUGAGUCGGCUCCUAAGGCGAGGCUGAAAAGCGUAGUCGAUGGGAAACAGGUUAAUAUUCCUGUACUUGGUAAAGCUGCGAUGUGGGGACGGAGUAGGUUAGGUUAUCGCACUGUUGGAUAUGUGCGUUUAAGUUGGUAGGUGGGAAGUUUAGGCAAAUCCGGGCUUCCUUAACACAGAGAGAUGAUGACGAGGCUCUACGGAGCUGAAGUAACUGAUACCACACUUCCAGGAAAAGCCACUAAGCGAAAGGCUUUACUAAACCGUACUGAAAACCGACACAGGUGGUC